CUUAAAUGUUCAUUUAUUUUAUGUGUAUGAGUGAUUUGCCUGCAUGUAUGUGAACCACAUGUGAACCUGGUGCCUGCAGAGGACAGAAGAAGGCAUUGCAUCAGUUGGAAUGAAGUUAUAUAUGGUUGUGAACCACCAUGUGGAUACAGGAAACUGAACCCAGGUCCUCUGUGAGAGUAGCAAGUGUCCUCAACUGCUGAGCUAUCUAUUUCUCUAGCCCUCUAAAUUGUUUUUAAUCUCACUUAUAAACAUAAAAAUUACCAAAGAUUUUUUUCUUCUUAAAUAAAAGUCUUAUUAUUUUGCCCAGGUUGGCCCAAAUUCUUGGGUUAAAAACUCUUUCUGCCUCAGCCCCAUGAGUAGCUGGUACUACAGGCCUGGCACCAUCACACCCAGCCCUUGUCUAUGGAAUAUGAAAAUGAUAAAUCCAAUAACAGAUAGUGGCUUGCUGGAUCCCUUGUCCAGUUUUGUCCUUGCCAGCUCAAAAGUCAUGAAGACCUGAGGAUAAAAGCCAGCAGCAGUGUAUGUCUGUGGUCCCAGUGCUGAGAAGGUGGAAAUAGGCAGAUCCCUGGAGUUCACUGGCCAGCCAGUCUAAUGGAAAAAGGUGAGUUCCGGGUUCAGUGAGAGAAACUGUCCAAAAACUACAGUGGAGACGAGUUGAGACAUCCCAGGCCAAUCUCUGGCUUCCACACAUACAUGC
ensembl:lncRNA